rfam:Enterobius vermicularis genome assembly, scaffold: EVEC_scaffold0001072
CCAACGGCCCUCUUUAGGGCCACAAAUUUGGAACUCAAACGUUAUA